ACGUACACUCCUCGGGAGGCAGCAGUGGGGAAUUUUGGACAAUGGGCGAAAGCCUGAUCCAGCCAUGCCGCGUGCAGGAUGAAGGCCUUCGGGUUGUAAACUGCUUUUGUACGGAACGAAACGGCCUUUUCUAAUAAAGAGGGCUAAUGACGGUACCGUAAGAAUAAGCACCGGCUAACUACGUGCCAGCAGCCGCGGUAAUACGUAGGGUGCAAGCGUUAAUCGGAAUUACUGGGCGUAAAGCGUGCGCAGGCGGUUAUGUAAGACAGUUGUGAAAUCCCCGGGCUCAACCUGGGAACUGCAUCUGUGACUGCAUAGCUAGAGUACGGUAGAGGGGGAUGGAAUUCCGCGUGUAGCAGUGAAAUGCGUAGAUAUGCGGAGGAACACCGAUGGCGAAGGCAAUCCCCUGGACCUGUACUGACGCUCAUGCACGAAAGCGUGGGGAGCAAACAGGAUUAGAUACCCCAGGAGUCC
rnacentral:rRNA from 1 species